GGGGAAUAUUGCGCAAUGGGGGGAACCCUGACGCAGCCAUGCCGCGUGAAUGAAGAAGGCCUUCGGGUUGUAAAGUUCUUUCGGUAUUGAGGAAGGUUGAUGUGUUAAUAGCACGUCAAAUUGACGUUAAAUACAGAAGAAGCACCGGCUAACUCCGUGCCAGCAGCCGCGGUAAUACGGAGGGUGCGAGCGUUAAUCGGAAUAACUGGGCGUAAAGGGCACGCAGGCGGUUAUUUAAGUGAGGUGUGAAAGCCCUGGGCUUAACCUAGGAAUUGCAUUUCAGACUGGGUAACUAGAGUACUUUAGGGAGGGGUAGAAUUCCACGUGUAGCGGUGAAAUGCGUAGAGAUGUGGAGGAAUACCGAAGGCGAAGGCAGCCCCUUGGGAAUGUACUGACGCUCAUGUGCGAAAGCGUGGGGAGCAAACAGGAUUAGAUACCCUGGUAGUCCACGCUGUAAACGCUGUCGAUUUGGGGGUUGGGGUUUAACUCUGGCGCCCGUAGCUAACGUGAUAAAUCGACCGCCUGGGGAGUACGGCCGCAAGGUUA
rnacentral:rRNA from 1 species